rnacentral:rRNA from 1 species
GACGUAGGGCGCAAGCGUUGUCCGGAUUUAUUGGGCGUAAAGAGCUCGUAGGCGGCUUGUCGCGUCGACUGUGAAAACCCGCGGCUCAACUGCGGGCCUGCAGCCGAUACGGGCAGGCUAGAGUUCGGUAGGGGAGACUGGAAUUCAUGGUGUAGCAGUGAAAUGCGUAGAGAUCAUGAGGAAGACCAGUGGCGAAGGCGGGUCUCUGGACAGUUCCUGACACUGAGACACGAAGGCCAGGGGAGCAAACGGGG